rnacentral:rRNA from 1 species
UACAGAGGGGGCGAGCGUUGUUCGGAAUUACUGGGCGUAAAGGGCUCGUAGGCGGCCAACUAAGUCGGACGUGAAAUCCCCAGGCUCAACCUGGGAACUGCGUCCGAUACUGGAUGGCUUGAAUCCGGGAGAGGGAUGCAGAAUUCCAGGUGUAGCGGUGAAAUGCGUAGAUAUCUGGAGGAAUACCGGUGGCGAAGGCGGCAUCCUGGACCGGCAUUGACGCUGAGGAGCGAAAGCCAGGGGAGCAAACGGG